AUUGCACACUGUUAAGAGCUUGGAGUUGAGGCCACUGGCUGGCCAACAAACUAGCAAGUAUAGGUAGUGUUUUACAUGAGGAACUGGUUUUUCACUAAUAUCACAAGGGUCUCUGACAAUGAGUGGAGUUUGAUAAUCUUUGCUACAAGU